UUAUUUCUAUUUUGUUGUUUUCAGAAAUCGACUUAAUGAUUAAUAGGGACAGUCGGGGGCAUUUGUAUUCAAACGACAGAGGUGAAAUUCUUGGACCGUUUGAAGACAAGCUACUGCGAAAGCAUUUGCCAAGAAAUGUUUUCAUUAAUCAAGAACGAAAGUUAGAGGUUCGAAGGCGAUUAGAUACCGCCCUAGUUCUAACCAUAAACGAUGCCAGCUAGCGAUCUGAGGACGUUUUUUUUGUAGACUCCUCAGGAAGCUUCCGGGAAACCAAAGCGUGUGGGUUCCGGGGGAAGUAUGGUUGCAAAGCUGAAACUUAAAGGAAUUGACGGAAGGGCACCACCAGGAGUGGAGCCUGCGGCUUAAUUUGACUCAACACAGGAAAUCUCACCAGGCCCGGACACUGGAAGGAUUGACAGAUUGAGAGCUCUUUCUCGAUUCGGUGGGUGGUGGUGCAUGGCCGUUCUUAGUUGGUGGAGUGAUUUGUCUGGUUAAUUCCGAUAACGAACGAGACUCUGUCCUGCUAAAUAGUGUCAGCCUCUCUUUUGGGCUGACAAUUCUUCUUAGAGGGACUGGCGGCUCCUAGCCGCACGAGAUAGAGCAAUAACAGGUCUGUGAUGCCCUUAGAUGUUCUGGGCCGCACGCGCGCUACACUGAAUAGAUCAGCGUGUUCUCCCUUUCUGAGAAGAACGGGUAAACCGCUGAACCCUAUUCGUGGUAGGGAUCGGGGCUUGCAAUUAUUCCCCGUGAACCAGGAAUUCCCAGUAGGCGCGAGUCAUAAGCUCGCGUCGAUUACGUCCCUGCCCUUUGUACACACCGCCCGUCGCUAAUACCGAUUGAAUGGUU
rnacentral:rRNA from 1 species